AGUGAACGCUGGCGGCAGGCCUAACACAUGCAAGUCGAACGAGUGGCGGACGGGUGAGGAAUUUCUGGGAAACUGCCCGGUCGUGGGGGAUAACUUCGGGAAACGUUCGCUAAUACCGCAUACCAUCGAAUGUGUCGCGAUGGGAUUAGCUAGUUGGUGGGGUAAAGGCCAACCUAGGCGACGAUCCCUAGCUGGUCUGAGAGGAUGACCAGCCACACUGGAACUGAGACACGGUCCAGACUCCUACGGGAGGCAGCAGUGGGGAAUAUUGCACAAUGGGCGCAAGCCUGAUCCAGCCAUGCCGCGUGGGUGAAGAAGGCCUUCGGGUUGUAAAGUCCUUUUAGCGGGAAAGCGGUACCCAAAGAAUAAGCACCGGCUAACUCCGUGCCAGCCGCCGCGGUAAUUC
rnacentral:rRNA from 1 species